GGGAAUGUGGCUUAGUGGUAAAGUGUUUGUCUAGCAUGCAUGAAGCCUUGGGUUCAAUUCUCAGUACCA
rnacentral:tRNA from 1 species